UAAAUGGCUCCCUGGAAAAAAACAAAAAGCCCUGAUUUGUAGCACUUGCCAAUUUCCCUGGUGUAAAUACUCCCACCAUGGCCAAUUUCAAACUACCAUUGUGAUGUCACUAACAUGGAAUUUGAAAGGGAUGCACAGAAUUAGCUCUGUGCAUCUCUUUCAAGUCGGUACCAGCUGACUCUGGCACACCACUGAUUCCAGCCACACUCAGUUUUUUUUCUUCUCCUUCCAAAAAUGCCUGAUUCUUUCUCACCUCUGGGACUUUGCAUGUGCUAUUUCUUCUUCCCCGAGCAAUCUUUCUUUUUCUCUCCUGCCUAGAUAUCUCCAACUAUUCUUAAGAUCUUAGCUUAAAUGUCACUCUCUCCAGAAAGUCUUUGCUGACGCAGAUUGGGUUGGGAGUCCCUGAGUUGUCUUCCAAAACAUAGGCCUCAUCAUGUUGUAUUGUAAUUACCUACUCACUUCAUAGUCUCUCCCAUUCGAUAUCGGAGCCAUAGGGUGGAGGUUAUAUUUGUGUAUCUAUUCUAUUCUCAACGUGAGCAAAAAGUAUCAUGUGAUUGCCUUGCAGAGGUGGGCCUGGGUGAGAUCACAUGGGAUUUUAUAAACAAUGGAAGUGACUCUUGAUAUCCUCUAUGCUGAUGGUGAUGAUUUUAGUGGUCGCUUUCAAGGUGAACAUUGCAUCGUGGUCCUCAAGAGACAUCUUGAACCAUAGAUAAACACAGAUGGACAACUGCAGGAAAGCAGCCCAGUUCUUUAAUAACAAAUUAUAAAGUUGAGUCAGUUUCCCUGAUGAAGGGGGAUAUUUAUGCUACAUUAAAAAGUAAUAAAACAGCAACCUUUUCUGAGCAGCAGAAUAUAAGAGAACAUCCCAUUUGCCUUCAAAUACUGAAUUUAGAAUUACAGGCUUCAUUAACUCAGAGUUUUGCUUAUUUAAAGCAAUUUUUUAAUGAGGCCAUUUCUUCAAAGCCAGUGUGCUGAGUUGCGUGCUCUUUCCCAGAUCUAAACUAGGACAUUUGGGAGAGUGUUUCCUGGAGGAAGAUGCAAGAGUCUUGACUUUUGUUUGUUUAAGGCCGUGUGCAUUCUGGUAUUAAUUCAGUCCAUGCAAAGUGCCAUUUGCUGCUUUAACCUUUAAGGCUUGUCACUUGGGAUUCCGGGUCAGAUUUUCUAGGUAUGUCAUUUUGGCUGCUCUGUGGCUAAUCCUCACAUAUCCCUUCUGAUCAUGUCGGCUGGUGGGGAUAUGAGUUAUCCGGUGGCUCAGGGGUCAUCAAGUUGAGGCAGGGUAGGUAAAGUCUGUGGGUGCAUUGGCUGGAGGUUUAUUGAGCAAAAGUAAAAUCAACCUUAAGAGAUUGAUGGAAUUAUCCCCACUUUACCUCUGAGCAAACUGAGGCUCAGAAAAGUAGCUUCCUGGAGGUGACCCUGGAGGAAGGUAGUCAAGACAGGGUCUCCCCAUUCCAGCAUCUGCUGUUUUCUCAUUACACACCUUGGAAAUAGCAACUCCUUGAAAUACAAAGUAAAAAGCUCGUUCCAUGCCCACAGAGCCGGGUAAUUCAUUCUAUUACUCUUACAGCUUGGGGAGUUGCAAAGUGCUUAUGACGGGGCCAAGAAGAUGGCUCACCAACUGAAGAGGAAGUGCCACCAUCUUACCUGUGACCUUGAGGAUACCUGCGUCCUGCUAGAGAACCAACAAAGUCGAAACCAUGAGCUGGAGAAGAAGCAGAAGAACAAAAGGAGCAGGAAGCCUCACAGCUGAAGCAGCAGGUGGAGAUGCUACAGGACCAUAAACGGGAGCUGCUGGGGUCACCCUCUCUGGGGGAAAAUUGCGUUGCUGGCUUGAAGGAGAGGCUCUGGAAGUUGGAAUCCAGCGCCCUUGAGCAACAGAAAAUCCAGAGCCAGCAGGAAAACACCAUCAAGCAGCUGGAGCAGGUAGGAAAGCCCUGUCUCAGGGCAACACCCUGUCCCAUGUCUCCAAUGCAGAGUGAUGUUAUUAAAAUACAAUGUGGGUGCCUCACUUGGCUGCUCCUCAUCCUUCAAUGGCUCCCUAUUAUCCCAGGGAACCUUUAAGCUCCUAAGUCUGACAUUCAGAUCCUUCCUGAUCCAGCUCUCCCCUGCAAGGUUCAGUGUCACCUCCUCAGAGAAGCCUGCCUUAAUCAUCUUGCAAAUAGCUCCCACUAGGUUGCAUUCAUUUCCCAUCUCCUUAGCUGGGUUGCUUUACUCUCUGGUACCUGCCAUCGUAUUAGAUAGUAUUUUUUAAAAGUUUGCUUUAUGCCUUUCUCUCUCAUUAACAUAUAAGCUUCAUGAAGUCAGAUUGUUUUUCUCUUUCUCUUGCUUCUUAGUGCAAUCCUAGAGCCUAGAAUGAGGCCAGGUACAUAGCUGAUGCUCAAUAAAUAGCUGUUGACCAAAUAUCUAACAUUCAUUGAGUACUGUCUGUAUACUAACCUCAGCCCUAAGCUCUCCCCACACAUCUCACGAAUCUCCACAUGAACCUUAUGUAGGGAGAUCUUAGUAUUAUCCCCACUUUACGGAUGUAGAAGUUGAGACUCAGAGACAUGGAGAAAGUAUCAGGGAUGGGAUUUGGAACCUGUGUCAU
rnacentral:lncRNA from 1 species